rnacentral:rRNA from 1 species
AGCGAACGCUGGCGGCAGGCCUAACACAUGCAAGUCGAACGAACAUUUCGGGGCUAGUGGCGGACGGGUGAGUAACACGUGGGAACGUGCCUUUAGGUUCGGAAUAACUCAGGGAAACUUGUGCUAAUACCGAGUGUGCCCUUCGGGGGAAAGAUUGAUCGCCUUUAGAGCGGCCCGCGUCUGAUUAGCUAGUUGGUUGAGGUAAUGGCUCACCAAGGCGACGAUCAGUAGCUGGUCUGAGAGGAUGAUCAGCCACAUUGGGACUGAGACACGGCCCAAACUCCUACGGGAGGCAGCAGUGGGGAAUCUUGCGCAAGGGGCGAAAGCCUGACGCAGCCAUGCCGCGUGAAUGAUGAAGGUCUUAGGAUUGUAAAAUUCUUUCACCGGGGACGAUAAUGACGGUACCCGGAGAAGAAGCCCCGGCUAACUUCGUG